GGCCCAGAGGGGAAAGGAGGCGGGGUCAGAGGCGGAGCCGGCGCGUGCGCGCGCGUCUCGGCCGAAGCCCCGCCCCCUCCCCUAGAGGCGGGACGCGCGCCGGGGCCGCCCACGAGCGAGGUGGACAAAAGGCCAGACCCGCCGCUAGGCGCGGGGAGCCCUGCGGAUGGCCGUUGGCGCCCGACGCCCUGCCGCGAGGUCCGCGGGGCCAUGGGCCCCAUUCCCACGCCCUUUUGUAACAAGCCACACCUUCCUUCUUCCUCUCCUCUCACAGCCUCAACCCAAAGUCUGGAGGGGGCCCACAGCGGGGGCCUUCUGCGAGCGCGUUCCGGAAGCGCUCCCGUCUCCCAACAUUGCACAGGUGAAGAAACUGAGGCUCGGAUGCUCUCUGCUAUGGCCUGGGAAAGCAGUAGAAGAUGGCCCAAGUCCUUGGGCCCCUGCACCUAUGUGGGACAGACACCUGGAUUAGAAGCUCCUGGCUCCUGGCUUCGGAUCGGCACAGCGCCGGGUGUUGCAGCCAAUUGAGGAGUGAACUGGUGGAUGGAAGACAUCUCUCUGCCUCUCCUUCCCUCUGUGUGUAACACUGACUUUCAAAUAAAUAUAUCUAAAGAAAAAAAAAAAAAGAGGCUGCCUGGGCCUUGGAGAUAAUGUGUUAAGGACAAAUACCCUUAGACUGCAGAUCUCAGCGGCUUGGUCUCUCACCCUCACUGUUCGCUUUUCUCUUUUUCUUAAGUAAAAUUUCUACUCUCA